rnacentral:rRNA from 1 species
AUUGAACGCUGGCGGCAGGCCUAACACAUGCAAGUCGAACGAGUGGCGGACGGGUGAGUAAUGUAUGGGAAACUGCCUGAUGGAGGGGGAUAACUACUGGAAACGGUAGCUAAUACCGCCUACACUCAGAGGUGCCCAGAUGGGUUGAGCUAGUAGGUGGGGUAAUGGCUCACCUAGGUGACGAUCCAUAGCUGGUCUGAGAGGAUGACCAGCCACACUGGAACUGAGACACGGCCCAGACUCCUACGGUAGGCAGCAGUGGGGAAUAUGGCACAAUGGGGGAAAGCCUGAUGCAGCCAGGCCGCGUGUGUGAAGAAGGCCUUCGGGUUGUAAAGCACUUUCGGCAAGGAGGCGGUACUCGCAGAAGAAGCACCGGCUAACUCCGUGCCAGCAGCCGCGGUAAUUC